rfam:Streptomyces griseoruber strain DSM 40281 genomic scaffold PRJNA299232_s001, whole genome shotgun sequence.
GUUCGUGACACGCGGUACGGUCUGGUGGAUAUCGACGACGGCAGGACGGAAGCCGGUGGGAAUCCGGCACGGUCGCGCCACUGUGUGCCGCCGACCCGCGAGGGGUGGCGGCGAGUCAGACCCGUAGCCGUCGUCAUGUGCACCAC